rnacentral:rRNA from 1 species
CAGCCGCCGCGGGAAUACGGAGGGUGCAAGCGUUAAUCGGAAUUACUGGGCGUAAAGCGUGCGUAGGUGGUGGUUUAAGUCCGUUGUGAAAGCCCUGGGCUCAACCUGGGAAUUGCAGUGGAUACUGGGUCACUAGAGUGUGGUAGAGGAUAGUGGAAUUUCCGGUGUAGCAGUGAAAUGCGUAGAGAUCGGAAGGAACAUCUGUGGCGAAGGCGACUAUCUGGGCCAACACUGACACUGAGGCACGAAAGCGUGGGGAGCAAACAGGAUUAGAUACCCCGGUAGUCCCUGUCUCUUAUAC